rnacentral:misc_RNA from 1 species
GCUACAACUGCUUCGAUGAGAGGGGUAUUUGUAUGUCUUGAUAUCAGUAUCUCUAGGGCUAUAGCCUCCGCAUCCCUCUUCCUACCAUGCAUGUGGGUCUAAGUUAGAGGAGUUGGAGGUCUGUUGCUGAAUGGCGUUUAAGCAAGUGGUCCUUGAUGCUUGUGUAAGGUCUCUUUGAGACUUUUGAUUGUUGGUGGCUUCCAUCCUUAUUGGUAAUCCACUUUGAUGAAGAUUGGAGGAGCGGCAGCGUGAUGCUUCUUUCCCUUCUCCUAAGGCUUUUGGAUGGGUGGGAGGAAGCUCGGCGUAUGGGUUGUGUUGAACUGGAUUUUUGGCCCCUUUCUCUAUUUGUUUUUGUUUCUAG